GAGGGAAGACACGGACCGGAACACGGAGCGGACCAGAGGCAGAUGGGAGGCUCUGAGCAGGGCGCUGGUCUGAAACGGGUCACAGAACGGGUCACAGCAAGAACCAGAACCAGAGCCCUCUGAAGAGAAACAAAAUGGACGUCACAGAACUUCAUCUCACCAGAACCAGCCAGGACGGCCAGAACUACCAGAACCAAUGAGAGGACUUCAGAGGCCUUCAUGACUCCAGAACCAGAACCGGAUUAAAUAAAGAUUCAUCAACAUUUCCUGACCAAAGUUUGUAACUGUGUUAUUGUGAACCUGGAAAAACCAAAAUGUCCAAAAUUGACUCAAAUUUCAAUGUUUAUGUUUUUUAAUCCGACCAAAAGAAAAACUGAUCAAAUUAUAUUGGAAAAAGCAGAAAUGUGAUUUAAUCUGUUCAAUUAGUGAACAAAGAUUCCUGAAAAUCCUCCAAAGAUGAAGAAUCUAAACUUUAUUACAACGUUGAUGUUAAAAUGACUGAGGCCACACCCAAAAGAUAAACAGAACAGAAUCAGAACCAGAUGUUGUUUUAAAAUCUGGAUUCAAUGAUUUCUGAUCAAACCAAACGUCUGGUUCUGAGCCUGAGGAGCCGUUAGUUUUUUUUUCCAGACUCUGAUCCUUCACGCCUCUGAGCCGUUUCAAACUUCACACUCAGCUUAUUCAAGUUUUAAACUAACUUUCUUCUUUCCCUGAAUAUUCAAAAUGCUUCCUGAUUUUAAAUCUCUCUGAGGUAAGAUGAAGAAUUCAGCUUUGUAUUCUACGAUUUCAAUUUCAAUUUGCAGAAUCUGAGCCGUUUGGGACACCGGGUAAUAAGCCAAACAUCGGUUCCUGUUUCCAAAAUGAAUUCAUAAAGCUGCAGGAGCACAAACCGAAUCCUCUCUGGUGUGAAAUACUUCACCUGAAACUUCCUGCAGCUCUUCAGGUUUAAAAAAACGAGGACAGAAGCCGAGAAAAGCUGCUUCAACCAGUUGAGCCCAGUGGGAAUAACGACGACAAGGAUGAUGGAAGAAGAU